GGAUCCAGACUUUGAUCCUGGCUCAGGAUGAACGCUAGCUACAGGCUUAACACAUGCAAGUCGAGGGGAAACGACAUCGAAAGCUUGCUUUUGAUGGGCGUCGACCGGCGCACGGGUGAGUAACGCGUAUCCAACCUGCCCACCACUUGGGGAUAACCUUGCGAAAGUAAGACUAAUACCCAAUGACGUCUCUAGAAGACAUCUGAAAGAGAUUAAAGAUUUAUCGGUGAUGGAUGGGGAUGCGUCUGAUUAGCUUGUUGGCGGGGUAACGGCCCACCAAGGCAACGAUCAGUAGGGGUUCUGAGAGGAAGGUCCCCCACAUUGGAACUGAGACACGGUCCAAACUCCUACGGGAGGCAGCAGUGAGGAAUAUUGGUCAAUGGACGAGAGUCUGAACCAGCCAAGUAGCGUGCAGGAUGACGGCCCUAUGGGUUGUAAACUGCUUUUAUAAGGGAAUAAAGUGAGUCUCGUGAGACUUUUUGCAUGUACCUUAUGAAUAAGGACCGGCUAAUUCCGUGCCAGCAGCCGCGGUAAUACGGAAGGUCCGGGCGUUAUCCGGAUUUAUUGGGUUUAAAGGGAGCGUAGGCCGGAGAUUAAGCGUGUUGUGAAAUGUAGACGCUCAACGUCUGCACUGCAGCGCGAACUGGUUUCCUUGAGUACGCACAAAGUGGGCGGAAUUCGUGGUGUAGCGGUGAAAUGCUUAGAUAUCACGAAGAACUCCGAUUGCGAAGGCAGCUCACUGGAGCGCAACUGACGCUGAAGCUCGAAAGUGCGGGUAUCGAACAGGAUUAGAUACCCUGGUAGUCCGCACGGUAAACGAUGGAUGCCCGCUGUUGGUCUGAAUAGGUCAGCGGCCAAGCGAAAGCAUUAAGCAUCCCACCUGGGGAGUACGCCGGCAACGGUGCAACUCAAAGGAAUUGACGG
rnacentral:rRNA from 1 species